rnacentral:piRNA from 1 species
UACGAUAAGGUUGCAGAAAUGGGAAG